rnacentral:rRNA from 1 species
GACGAACGCUGGCGGCGUGCUUAACACAUGCAAGUCGAACGAAGUGGCGAACGGGUGAGUAACGCGUAAUCAACCUGCCCUUCAGAGGGGGACAACAGUUGGAAACGACUGCUAAUACCGCAUACUGAAGGAGGGGAUUGCGUUUGAUUAGCAAGUUGGAUGGGUAACGGGCCACCAAGGCGACGAUCAGUAGGCGGUCUGAGAGGAUGAAGGGGCAAAUUGGGACGUGGAAACGGCCCAGACUCCUACGGGAGGCAGGAGUGGGGAAACUUCCGCAAUGGGCGGAAGUCUGACGGAGCAACGGCGCGGGAGUGAUGACGGCCUUCGGGUUGUAAAGCUCGGUUAAUCGGGACGCGGUACCGGAAUAGAAAGCCACGGCUAACUACGUGCCAGCAGCCGCGGUAAUAC